rnacentral:tRNA from 1 species
GGCUUGUCAGCUCAGUUGGUAGAGCGCUGCGCUGGUAUCGCAGAGGUCAUGGGUUCAAAUCCCAUACAGGCCU